CCUACGGGAGGCAGCAGUAGGGAAUCUUCCGCAAUGGACGAAAGUCUGACGGAGCAACGCCGCGUGAACGAUGAAGGCCUUCGGGUCGUAAAGUUCUGUUGUUAGGGAAGAACAAGUGCUAGUUAAAUAAGCUGGCACCUUGACGGUACCUAACCAGAAAGCCACGGCUAACUACGUGCCAGCAGCCGCGGUAAUACGUAGGUGGCAAGCGUUGUCCGGAAUUAUUGGGCGUAAAGCGCGCGCAGGCGGUUUCUUAAGUCUGAUGUGAAAGCCCCCGGCUCAACCGGGGAGGGUCAUUGGAAACUGGGAAACUUGAGUGCAGAAGAGGAAAGUGGAAUUCCAAGUGUAGCGGUGAAAUGCGUAGAGAUUUGGAGGAACACCAGUGGCGAAGGCGACUUUCUGGUCUGUAACUGACGCUGAGGCGCGAAAGCGUGGGGAGCAAACAGGAUUAGAUACCCUGGUAGUCCACGCUGUAAACGAUGAGUGCUAAGUGUUAGAGGGUUUCCGCCCUUUAGUGCUGAAGUUAACGCAUUAAGCACUCCGCCUGGGGAGUACGGUCGCAAGACUGAAACUUAAAUGAAUUGACG
rnacentral:rRNA from 1 species